AUUUAACUAUAUCCUAAGAGAAAGUAGCAAGCCAGAAAGAAUUUAACCUUUGUUUCUUUGAUCGAAAUGGGUGGUCCUACUACUACCAUCACUAGACACCCCUCCUCCCGUAAAAAAUUGAAAGAAAGGAAAAGAAAAUCAACAGAUUAUCUGACUUAACACUCACAAAUACCUGCAAAUGCUUUCAUUAUUAUCCCCAUUUUACAAAUGAGAAAAGAGAAUCUCUGGACAUCUAGGUAAUUUCCUCAAAUUUACACCACUGAAAAAGCUUGUAUUCAAGCCUAGUCCUGUCUAAAUAUGCAAUUCCCUGUGGUGAAACUCAUCUGUAAGCAAGUAAUGAAUAAGUAAGUCUAUAAGUAAAUGUUUGAGGGCUGGGAAAAAGAGAGUAAAUAUGGUGCUAGGGGCAAAACCCUUCAGAAAUGUGAAACGUCAGAGCUGAAGAAUGAGAAGUGCCGGAAAUUGUAUUAAGUUCUUAAUCACAUGCUUGAAGUUUACCCAUAACACAACAACAACUUAAACAGUCAAUAUACAUUUUAUCUAACAUUCAGUUUUAGAAUUAUCUCAGCAUAACAAUAUAUUGUUUCAGCAUUUAUCUGUUUUCAUUUGCAGUUAUUACUCUAUAGCAUAUUGCAAAUUCAGGAAAAAAUAGAUCAAUGGCUCCAAUAUUGUUUAUUGAAGCAUAAAGGUGGCAAAAUAAUCAAUAAAUUACUAAAAUCAGGAAAGUCAUAAAUAGUGAACCAAACUCCAGGACAAGUGACUCUGCAAGUGCAAUCACUUGCAUAAACAGAGGAGGAUAAAAUGAAAAUAGGCUGCAUAAUAAUGAGAAUCAGAAUACUGAAUUUUAUUGAACUAGUGAUGGAUUUAUAUCUGCAGUUUCUAUUGAAAGUAUAUCAAAUACUGGUAUCAAGUCAUAAAACCUUUUACAUCAUUUACAAAAAAUCACAGGGACUUCUCUGGUAAACCAAUUGAGUUUUUCCAAAAUGAAGACGAAAUAAUGUUUUCCAGUAUAGAAUUAAUGAGUUUGCUUGCCAAAAGCAGAGAAGAAACUGAAACAAAAGAGGCAGCAUUCAGUUAUAAGCCUCAGGGCGCAAAAAGGUAUAAGGCAUACCAUUGCUGAGAAGUUUAUAUAACAACCAGCAAAGUUAAUUUAAAAUACGCAUAUGUGUUGGAAAGAAAGCAAAACGAGUUGCACACAAAAUAC
rnacentral:lncRNA from 10 species